rnacentral:rRNA from 1 species
UACGUAGGGGGCAAGCGUUGUCCGGAAUCAUUGGGCGUAAAGAGCGUGUAGGCGGCCCGAUAAGUCCGCUGUGAAAGUCCAGGGCUCAACCCUGGAAUGCCGGUGGAUACUGUCGGGCUCGAAUCCGGAAGAGGUGAGUGGAAUUCCUGGUGUAGCGGUGAAAUGCGCAGAUAUCGAGAGGAACACCAGAGGUGAAGACGGGUUGCUGGGCUGACACUGACGCUGAGGCGCGAAAGCCAGGGGAGCAAACGGG